rnacentral:lncRNA from 1 species
GGAACUGCUGCUGUGUUUUCCUGCACAGUUUUCUGAUAUGUUAGCUAAUUAAUCCGGUCCAAUAUCAACACUAUUCUAGAUGCAAUGAAGAUCAUGUUAGCCAUAACUUUUUUUUUUGACUAAAUGUUAGCCAUAACUUAACAACAUAACAAAGGGAAAAAACACUAAACAUAAAUAUUGAUUCACAUGCAUCAAAUAAGUCAUUGAGAGAAGCUAAUUAAUGGGUACUAAUUCUCAUCAAAUAUAACAACACUAAUCAAAUCGAGAAAAAAAUUAGUUUUUAAACUACCCAAAACCCAGUCUAAUUCAUAACAUGGUGAGGAUCUAAUUUGGUAAGUGAGCUAUCUAAUCUAAAGGAACUCACCUCUUUUAAAUGAUGAUCAAUCUUUGUUUAAGCUCAAGAUUCCGACUUCAAGUCACCAAUUCCUUAAGAGUCCUUUAAUUCCUUCUAUACUCUGAUUUGUUAUAAACUUGAUUAACGGGAGAAGGUUGAGACGUGAAUAAUGUCCAGAAAUCUCCAUAAUUGAUUCACCAACUUUAGAAUGCUCAUAGUUAAAUCCAACAACUCUCAAGAUUUAGAAGCUACAAGCUGUACACUACCAAGAGACAUCAUCACCAUCCUACAACCUGUUCCGUAUAUCAUUAUGCAUACAUGCAUGCAGCCUUUCAAUUUUAAACACAAGUUAU